UUGGAGGGCAAGUCUGGUGCCAGCAGCCGCGGUAAUUCCAGCUCCAAUAGCGUAUAUUAACGUUGUUGCAGUUAAAAAGCUCGUAGUUGAAGUGAGGGAGUGUGUGGGUAUGAGAGCUAGUCUCAAGUACUCACAACCUCCCCCCUCCAAUCGGUGUAGUGGGGUAUUCAGUUAUUCUACUACUCCUUUGGUCGUUUACUGUGAGAAAAUUAGAGUGUUCAAAGCGGGCGUUUGUUUGAAUAGAUUAGCAUGGAAUAAUGAUUGAAGGCUUUCGUGUUCGAUUUGAUUGGUUUGUUCAUGGAAGCAAGGUUAAAAGGAACAGUUGGGGGUAUUCAUAUUCACUAGUUAGAGGUGAAAUUCUCGGAUUUAUGGAAGAUGAACAA
rnacentral:rRNA from 1 species